rnacentral:rRNA from 1 species
UUGAACGCUGGCGGCAGGCCUAACACAUGCAAGUCGAGCGGUAGCACAGAGAGCUUGCUCUCGGGUGACGAGCGGCGGACGGGUGAGUAAUGUCUGGGAAACUGCCUGAUGGAGGGGGAUAACUACUGGAAACGGUAGCUAAUACCGCAUAAUGUCGCAAGACCAAAGUGGGGGACCUUCGGGCCUCAUGCCAUCAGAUGUGCCCAGAUGGGAUUAGCUAGUAGGUGGGGUAACGGCUCACCUAGGCGACGAUCCCUAGCUGGUCUGAGAGGAUGACCAGCCACACUGGAACUGAGACACGGUCCAGACUCCUACGGGAGGCAGCAGUGGGGAAUAUUGCACAAUGGGCGCAAGCCUGAUGCAGCCAUGCCGCGUGUGUGAAGAAGGCCUUCGGGUUGUAAAGCACUUUCAGCGGGGAGGAAGGCGUUAAGGUUAAUAACCUUGGCGAUUGACGUUACCCGCAGAAGAAGCACCGGCUAACUCCGUGCCAGCAGCCGCGGUAAUACGGAGGGUGCAAGCGUUAAUCGGAAUUACUGGGCGUAAAGCGCACGCAGGCGGUCUGUCAAGUCGGAUGUGAAAUCCCCGGGCUCAACCUGGGAACUGCAUUCGAAACUGGCAGGCUAGAGUCUUGUAGAGGGGGGUAGAAUUCCAGGUGUAGCGGUGAAAUGCGUAGAGAUCUGGAGGAAUACCGGUGGCGAAGGCGGCCCCCUGGACAAAGACUGACGCUCAGGUGCGAAAGCGUGGGGAGCAAACAGGAUUAUAUACCCUGGUAGUCCACGCCGUAAACGAUGUCGAUUUGGAGGUUGUGCCCUUGAGGCGUGGCUUCCGGAGCUAACGCGUUAAAUCGACCGCCUGGGGAGUACGGCCGCAAGGUUAAAACUCAAAUGAAUUGACGGGGGCCCGCACAAGCGGUGGAGCAUGUGGUUUAAUUCGAUGCAACGCGAAGAACCUUACCUGGUCUUGACAUCCACAGAACUUUCCAGAGAUGGAUUGGUGCCUUCGGGAACUGUGAGACAGGUGCUGCAUGGCUGUCGUCAGCUCGUGUUGUGAAAUGUUGGGUUAAGUCCCGCAACGAGCGCAACCCUUAUCCUUUGUUGCCAGCGGUCCGGCCGGGAACUCAAAGGAGACUGCCAGUGAUAAACUGGAGGAAGGUGGGGAUGACGUCAAGUCAUCAUGGCCCUUACGACCAGGGCUACACACGUGCUACAAUGGCAUAUACAAAGAGAAGCGACCUCGCGAGAGCAAGCGGACCUCAUAAAGUAUGUCGUAGUCCGGAUUGGAGUCUGCAACUCGACUCCAUGAAGUCGGAAUCGCUAGUAAUCGUAGAUCAGAAUGCUACGGUGAAUACGUUCCCGGGCCUUGUACACACCGCCCGUCACACCAUGGGAGUGGGUUGCAAAAGAAGUAGGUAGCUUAACCUUCGGGAGGGCGCUUACCACUUUGUGAUUCAUGACUGGGGUG